ACUUCAAAGAUAGUUUGAAACUUAGAAUUCAUAUUUACAUAAAUGCACUAGACUAGACUUUUCUUCCUUAAUUCAAAAAAAGACUUUUACAAGGUGUUGUUGACAAUCCAAGAACAUGGAACCUAUUCAUGCGUCUGUCAACAAGUCUUGUGCAACAAGUCUUGUGAGCUGUCUGAUGAAAUUAUCGUGUUGUUUUCGGUGUUUGUGACAUUGGGUUGGGAUGAAUUGCGGAUGCGGACUGACGGACGGAGAGGCGAACCAAAGAUUGCUCAUAACUGUAAUAAUUAUCGUCUACAAAACCCUCUCAAUAUUUGUCAAGUGCGUAUUUCACAAAAGUGUUAUAGGUUACAUCGUUCGAACUCGAAGACGAUGAACGCGUUGGAGGGCCGUAAGUUCGUGAUUUGUGAGAGCGAAUCUGCUUAAUCGGCAACACUAUAUUCUGGAUAUUGCAAAUUGAAAUUCUAAUUUGCUAGGGAAAAGUAAUUUUCCUAUCUUAGGAAAGUGUAUAUUCUACUUAUGAAAUGAUAAAUAUCUUUCCAUCUAAAAUAUAGAUGUUUACAAUUUCCAGUGUAUGGUGACUGCUAUGCACUCACAAAUA